GUGCUUGCUUUAGUAGCACAUAUACUAAAAUUGGAAUAAUACAGAGAAGAGUCACAUGGCCCCUGUGCAAGGAUGACAUGCAAAUUCGUGAAGCAUUUUAUACUUUC